GGUGUAGCGGUGGAAUGCGCAGAUAUCAGGAGGAACACCGAUGGCGAAGGCAGGUCUCUGGGCUGUUACUGACGCUGAGGAGCGAAAGCAUGGGGAGCGAACAGGAUUAGAUACCCUGGUAGUCCAUGCCGUAAACGUUGGGCACUAGGUGUGGGGGACAUUCCACGUUUUCCGCGCCGUAGCUAACGCAUUAAGUGCCCCGCCUGGGGAGUACGGCCGCAAGGCUAAAACUCAAAGGAAUUGACGGGGGCCCGCACAAGCGGCGGAGCAUGCGGA
rnacentral:rRNA from 1 species